rnacentral:rRNA from 1 species
GAUGAACGCUGGCGGCGUGCUUAACACAUGCAAGUCGAACGGAAAGGCCUCUGCUUGCAGGGGUACUCGAGUGGCGAACGGGUGAGUAACACGUGGGUGAUCUGCCCUGCACUUCGGGAUAAGCCUGGGAAACUGGGUCUAAUACCGGAUAGGACAAUGGUUUGGAUGCUGUUGUGGAAAGUUUUUCGGUGUGGGAUGAGCUCGCGGCCUAUCAGCUUGUUGGUGGGGUAAUGGCCUACCAAGGCGUCGACGGGUAGCCGGCCUGAGAGGGUGUACGGCCACAGUGGGACUGAGAUACGGCCCAGACUCCUACGGGAGGCAGCAGGGGGGAAUAUUGCACAAUGGGCGCAAGCCUGAUGCAGCGACGCCGCGUGGGGGAUGACGGCCUUCGGGUUGUAAACUCCUUUCGCUAGGGACGAAGCGUUUUUGUGACGGUACCUGGAGAAGAAGCACCGGCUAACUACGU